rnacentral:rRNA from 1 species
AGAUUGAACGCUGGCGGCGUGCUUAACACAUGCAAGUCGAGCGGUAACAGGCGUAGCAAUACGUGCUGACGAGCGGCGAACGGGUGCGUAAUACAUGGGAAUCUGCCCCUUGGUGGGGAAUAACCCGGCGAAAGCCGGGCUAAUGCCGCAUAAGAUCUUCGGAUGAAAGCGGGGGAUCGUAAGACCUCGCGCCGAUGGAUGAGCCCAUGUCGGAUUAGCUAGUUGGUGAGGUAACGGCUCACCAAGGCGACGAUCCGUAGCUGGUCUGAGAGGACGGCCAGCCACACUGGGACUGAGACACGGCCCAGACUCCUACGGGAGGCAGCGGUGGGAAUAUUGGACAAUGGGGGAAACCCUGAUCCAGCGACGCCGCGUGUGUGAAGAAGGCCUGCGGUUGUAAAGCAACGUUUCGAGUGGAACGAAAGUAUGCCGGGCUAAACGUACCCCGGUAAGGCUGACGUUACUCAAUGAAAGAAGCACCGGCUAACUCUAGUGCCAGCCAGCCCG